AUUGAACGCUGGCGGCAGGCCUAACACAUGCAAGUCGAGCGGAUGAAGGGAGCUUGCUCCUGGAUUCAGCGGCGGACGGGUGAGUAAUGCCUAGGAAUCUGCCUGGUAGUGGGGGAUAACGUCCGGAAACGGGCGCUAAUACCGCAUACGUCCUGAGGGAGACAGUGGGGGAUCUUCGGACCUCACGCUAUCAGAUGAGUCUAGGUCGGAUUAGCUAGUUGGUGGGGUAAAGGCCUACCAAGGCGACGAUCCGUAACUGGUCGGAGAGGAUGAUCAGUCACACUGGAACUGAGACACGGUCCAGACUCCUACGGGAGGCAGCAGUGGGGAAUAUUGGACAAUGGGCGAAAGCCUGAUCCAGCCAUGCCGCGUGUGUGAAGAAGGUCUUCGGAUUGUAAAGCACUUUAAGUUGGGAGGAAGGGCAGUAAGUUAAUACCUUGCUGUUUUGACGUUACCAACAGAAUAAGCACCGGCUAACUUCGUG
rnacentral:rRNA from 1 species